UACAGAGGUCUCAAGCGUUGUUCGGAUUCAUUGGGCGUAAAGGGUGCGUAGGCGGCGCGGUAAGUCGGGUGUGAAAUCUCGGAGCUUAACUCCGAAACUGCAUUCGAUACUGCCGUGCUUGAGGACUGGAGAGGAGACUGGAAUUUACGGUGUAGCGGUGAAAUGCGUAGAGAUCGUAAGGAAGGCCAGUGGCGAAGGCGAGUUCCUGGACAGUGACUGACGCUGAGGCACGAAGGCCAGGGGAGCAAACGGG
rnacentral:rRNA from 1 species